rnacentral:rRNA from 1 species
UACGAACUGUGCAAACGUUAUUCGGAAUCACUGGACUUACAGGGUGCGUAGGCGGUCCUGUAAGUCCCGCGUGAAAUCCCCCGGCUCAACUGGGGAACGGCGCGGGAGACUGCGGGGCUUGAGUUCGGGAGAGGGAAGCGGAAUUCCGGGUGUAGCGGUGAAAUGCGUAGAUAUCCGGAGGAACACCGGUGGCGAAGGCGGCUUCCUGGACCGACACUGACGCUGAGGCGCGAAAGCUAGGGGAGCAAACGGG